CACGUGGGUAACCUGCCCAAGAGACUGGGAUAACACCUGGAAACAGAUGCUAAUACCGGAUAACAACACUAGACGCAUGUCUAGAGUUUAAAAGAUGGUUCUGCUAUCACUCUUGGAUGGACCUGCGGUGCAUUAGCUAGUUGGUAAGGUAACGGCUUACCAAGGCAAUGAUGCAUAGCCGAGUUGAGAGACUGAUCGGCCACAUUGGGACUGAGACACGGCCCAAACUCCUACGGGAGGCAGCAGUAGGGAAUCUUCCACAAUGGACGCAAGUCUGAUGGAGCAACGCCGCGUGAGUGAAGAAGGGUUUCGGCUCGUAAAGCUCUGUUGGUAGUGAAGAAAGAUAGAGGUAGUAACUGGCCUUUAUUUGACGGUAAUUACUUAGAAAGUCACGGCUAACUACGUGCCAGCAGCCGCGGUAAUACGUAG
rnacentral:rRNA from 1 species